AGAGUUUGAUCAUGGCUCAGGACGAACGCUGGCGGCAGGCCUAAUACAUGCAAGUCGAACGGCUCUUCGGAGCAGUGGCGGACGGGUGAGUAACGCGUGGGAACGUGCCCUUUGGUUCGGAACAACACAGGGAAACUUGUGCUAAUACCGAAUGUGCCCUUCGGGGGAAAGAUUUAUUGCCAUUGGAGCGGCCCGCGUUGGAUUAGCUAGUUGGUGGGGUAAAGGCCCACCAAGGCUACGAUCCAUAGCUGGUCUGAGAGGAUGAUCAGCCACACUGGGACUGAGACACGGCCCAGACUCCUACGGGAGGCAGCAGUAGGGAAUCUUGCGCAAUGGGCGAAAGCCUGACGCAGCCAUGCCGCGUGAAUGAUGAAGGUCUUAGGAUUGUAAAAUUCUUUCACCGGGGAAGAUAAUGACGGUACCCGGAGAAGAAGCCCCGGCUAACUUCGUGCCAGCAGCCGCGGUAAUACGAAGGGGGCUAGCGUUGCUCGGAAUUACUGGGCGUAAAGGGCGCGUAGGCGGACAUUUAAGUCAGAGGUGAAAGCCCAGGGCUCAACCUUGGAAUUGCCUUUGAUACUGGAUGUCUUGAGUUCGGGAGAGGUGAGUGGAAUGCCGAGUGUAGAGGUGAAAUUCGUAGAUAUUCGGCGGAACACCAGUGGCGAAGGCGACUCACUGGCCCGAUACUGACGCUGAGGCGCGAAAGCGUGGGGAGCAAACAGGAUUAGAUACCCCGGUAGUCCAA
rnacentral:rRNA from 1 species